rnacentral:rRNA from 1 species
UACGUAGGGUGCAAGCGUUAAUCGGAAUUACUGGGCGUAAAGCGUGCGCAGGCGGUUUUGUAAGUCUGUCGUGAAAUCCCCGGGCUCAACCUGGGAACUGCAUUUGUGACUGCAUCGCUGGAGUGCGGCAGAGGGGGAUGGAAUUCCGCGUGUAGCAGUGAAAUGCGUAGAUAUGCGGAGGAACACCGAUGGCGAAGGCAAUCCCCCUGGGCCUGCACUGACGCUCAUGCACGAAAGCGUGGGGAGCGAACAGG